GACAGAGGUGCCGAGCGUUAGGCGGAAUCACUGGGCUUAAAGCGUGUGUAGGCGGGCCGUUAAGUAUCUUGUGAAAUCCCCCGGCUCAACCGGGGAAUGGCUGGGUAUACUGGCGGUCUUGAGCAGUCUAGGGGCAGAUGGAACAGACGGUGGAGCGGUGAAAUGCGUAGAUAUCGUCUGGAACGCCAAAGGUGAAGACAGUCUGCUGGGGACUUGCUGACGCUGAGACACGAAAGCCAGGGGAGCGAACGGG
rnacentral:rRNA from 1 species